CCAAUAGCGUAUAUUAAAGUUGUUGCAGUUAAAAAGCUCGUAGUUGAAUUUCGGGAUUAGUACGUUGGUCGUGCCUUGGUACGUACUGGUGUAACUGAUUCCUCCCUUCUGACGAACCGUUAUGCCAUUAAUUUGGGGUGGCGGGAAAUCAGGACUGUUACUUUGAAAAAAUUAGAGUGUUUAAAGCAGGCUCGCGCUUGAAUACAUUAGCAUGGAAUAAUGAAAUAGGACGUUAAUCCUAUUUUGUUGGUUUCUAGGAUCGACGUAAUGAUUAAUAGGGAUAGUUGGGGGCAUUAGUAUUCAAUUGUCAGAGGUGAAAUUCUUGGAUUUAUUGAAGACUAACUACUGCGAAAGCAUUUGCCAAGGAUGUUUUCAUUAAUCAAGAACGAAAGUUAGGGGAUCGAAGACGAUCAGAUACCGUCGUAGUCUUAACCAUAAACUAUGCCGACUAGGGAUCGGAUGAUGUUAUUUUUUAAUGACUCAUUCGGCACCUUACG
rnacentral:misc_RNA from 1 species